rnacentral:rRNA from 1 species
AGUGAACGCUGGCGGUAUGCCUAACACAUGCAAGUCGAACGGCACCACCGUAAGUGCUUGCUCUUGCGUGUGUCGCGUGUCGGACGGUUGCGGAAUACAUCGGAUUCUACUUUUUCGUGGGUGCUAAUGUAGGGAAACUUACGCUGACACCGCAUACGACGUACUUGUGUAGGCAGGCGAUCUUCUGGCCUGUUGCGAUUGUAUAAGCCGAUGUCGUAUUAGCUAGUUGGCGGGGUAAUGGCGCACCCCGGCCACGAUCCGUAGCGCGUCUGAGAGUAUGAUCCGACACAUGGGAACUGAGACACGUUCCAGACUCCUACGGGAGGAAGCAGUGGAGAAUAUUAGACAAUGGGCGCAAGCCUGAUACAGCCAUACCGCGUAGGUGAAGAAGGACUUCGGGUUGUAAAGCCAUUUUGGUGGGAAAGAAAAGCAGCAGGUUAAUACGCCGCUGUUCUGACGGUACCGAAAGAAUAAGCACCGGCUAACUCCGUG